CCUGUGACACUUGGUGGUGACGUGUGAGCUGAUUCACCUGGACACUCAGCAAAAUAUGGACUACACCAUGAGGCAGGCACACGUUAAUACUUAUAAGAGCACAUAAGCCUGGCUGAUCACCUGAUAACUCCUGUCAUCUGGUUAUGACAGCAUGAGGAUGUCCUCACACACCUGUAACCUAUCAGCUCAUCUGGCAGAAUAGAGAGAGAAGAGACAACACCACAUCUCCUGUUCCUGGAAAGCCUUCAGCCAUCCUUCGAUGACUGAGAACCUCCAUCAGCUCUGUCUCCUGUCUGCCUACAAUUAUUAUAAUAAAUAUUGUGUUUGACAGGUUUUU